ensembl:lncRNA
CAGUUACAGAGAUAUCCUUUUAGGAGCACACUUUUUCAGCACAGUAGCGCACCCUGUCCCAGGGCUGGUGACACUUUUUGCAGCAAUGAGAUGAUGGAUAGACAAUGAAAGAGAGCUCAAAUCUCCCAUUUCCUGAAUGACUGCUCUAAAAACUGGGCUGUUCAAGAGAAGACAAAUGAUAAGUGGUACCAGCAACGCCUCUGGCAUGUGAAAAUGAAAAUAUCUGUGUCAUCAAUGAAUGAUAUUUGUCCUGAAUUUGGCACAGACCACACUCAAAGACUGCCCACUUUGUGGUACAGGUGGAGAAAGCUGCCCUACUAUUUGGUGACAGACAAGGACUAUAAUAUUGUUAUCACCAAAGUCAAUAACACAACACAACACAAGCUUUCCAAGCGUUUAUGAAGGACAGGGAGGGAUCUCUUCAUCUCUCCAUCAGGUUAUUCAAGCCCAAUAAGCGAGAUCAGUUCAUCAAAGGAUGUUUCACCCCUUUUCAGGCUUUGUUGCACUCCUGCCAGACAGGCAGUGUUUCCAGGCACCCACUGUCCUGGCAAUCAAGGGGCUCCUCAGGCCCUGGGACAAAAAGCAGUUGCCUGCAGGAAUGGAGACAUCCAGCACUGGGCCCUGUCAGGAGGAGGAUACCAGACUAUGUGAGCCUUUGAUUUUACUUGGUGCAGUUGUUGCUAUCGUCCUGCAUUCUCAUAUACAUUAAGGGUUAAAUUCAGAAUUCCGCCUUCACCCAGGAGUUUUGCCAAGAAUACAAGUUUGGGCAUUUUGCCUCCUAAGCACUGUGACAGGAAUUAGUUAAAUCCGACUUUGUAAGGAACACAGUGCUUAAAACUUGUACUGCUGUCCUUAGUGCUGCUGUCUGUGGGUGCAGGACUGCCAUCAGCAUAAUCUCCUUCACCCUCACUCUUCGAUCUUGAAGUAUGAUAAUAACCAAAGAACUUCUCCUAUAGAAUUCAUCCUCACUCUUCCACCAUAUCUGCUCUUGUUACUUAUCAGCAAAUCUGGAAACCUUGCUUAAUAACAGCAUUCAGUCAACCUUUUCAUAUGGUGUAUCCAUCAUCAUACAAAAAAAGGCUGUAUUGUAUUGAUCCUGAAUUAACAAUAGGGCACUGAAGUGCAAACUAUAGCUGCUACUCUGUUUUUGCCAAAAUUGUAUUUAAAGUAGCUCAAAUGCUGAGUAAAUAUAAAGGGAAAUCACAUACAUGGAACAGGAAAUUUUUAGGGUGAUAAUAUACAUUGCUUUGUGGUAAAAAUUUCCAGAAAGAGUCAGCUUUUAUGACUAGACUCAGAUGCUAUUUACUCACCUAAAUAAUUAUUAGUAGGUUUUCAAAGGAGCUCGGCACUCAGUGUGCUGAAAUCUUUUGAAAACCUGGUCAUAAUAGUCACAAUGGGAACUGAGCUCUUUUGAAAAACUACUCACAGCUGAGAGUGCCAAGCCAGAGAAGGCUGGAUCUCAGACAGAAAACUUGCAUCAUAACAUCUCUUGAAAUACUCAGUGGUUGAUGGGAAAAGACGAGUAUCUACUCUACCCUCUGACUGCAGCCGGCAUCAGAUGAACAACCGGUUGUGAUUUUUCCAUUAUAUUGAUUUCCCAACAGGAAACUUGGGUUCCAAAAAAUCCUCUUCUGAGAGAAGAUAUUGAUUUUGAGGCAU